ensembl:snoRNA
AGCACUUGUGUUUGUUUUUGUUUAAUUUGUGGACAAAGACUUAUAGACAGGUGCAAAAAUACAUCCUCUUUUGCAACCCAGAACUCAGUGUUCAGUAUGAGUUUUUUGGUUUUUUUAAAAAAUUAAUUA